GGAGGUGUGGCUCGUACAGCUUGCACAUUAUUUAGAAUACCACAAAUCAAGAUCUGAGGAUGAAAAUCAGAAAAUCAAGCUCAACUCUCUUCAGUAGUCUAUCUCUUCAGCUGAACAAGGUGUCCAUACGUAACCAUCAACCACCCACCUUCCCCCUGCCACCCUGGAGAGUAUGUGUUAUCCUACAGAGUCAGUUAUCUGGACACGGCCAAUUUUGGAAUAUCGUCCUCUCAGAGUAUCAGUGUACAACCUUAUCCCAGUGUGAUUACGUGCUUUUGUUUGAAGCGUAUGCCAAACUUGCAGAAGCUGAUCUAAGGUCGUCAUAAUACAUUGGAACGGAAGAGAUGUCGACACCCAAUCCUUCGAAUCUCACGAGCUCAACUCUCUGGCCUCUACUCCAGUUAGUCAGAGGAAGACAAACGUCCUAGUCUCUGAGAGUGUGCAUGGAUGUCAAAGUCAGAGCAAAAUCUAUCAAGACUCCGGACGUGUUCUUCGCCAAUCCCAGCGCAGAGGAGGCACUAAAGGAUGAGAAGUGGUUCAUUUGCCAACCACCAGCCAAAAUAUCUACUCCACCAAUACCAGCGGCAGUACCAACAACAAUACUGUGGCAUAUGAGAGCAGGACUCCUUCUGCUGCCACUGUUGCCCACAGCCUGCUCCCACCCCCCUCAGCCACGCCCUCACAGUCCUCUGAGAGUACAAAGG